rnacentral:lncRNA from 1 species
UACAUUGUAUACCAUUAUAAGUUUGUGUACCUGGUAUUUGGAAAAGCAAAGACAAGAGGAGGAUCAGUGGUACAACAGUAGUGUAAGCCACACAACAAACAUAUCCAACAACAACAACAGCAAACUAGUAUCAAACAGUAGCAAGAAUCCCAGGAGCAGAUUAAAAUCCAACAACACCAAAAAAUCAACACAAGUAAAUCAGAAGAGAAACAACCACAAAAGACCUCACUUUCAGUGCAUAAGCCCUCCCAAAUUAACUGACUUCUUGAUGUCAAAGUUCAGCCUUAAACUCCCUCUUACGUUCUGAUAUUCUAAUGCCCAAAAAAUUAAUUAUAACUCACUCCUCAAAUUUGAAAUUUUCAAAGUCCAGCCUAUAUUUUGCUUGUACCACUUUUGGAACCUUAGUGUAAAAAUUCCAUCCUAUUCAACUCUAACACUCUGACCUCUGAAGAUUCCCCCUUUUUGAAAAAAAAAAAGAAAAAUUUCUGGUACUCUAUCAAGUUUAAUUUCUAAAAGAAAAAUGAUUUCUCAAAAAGCCAAACUCAACUUUCUGAUUCAAAAUUCUAGUUUCCCUUCUUAGUUCUGAAUUUCUGAUCUCUAAAAUUCUCUCUAAUUACUCCUUAAUUCUAUGUAUUUAUAGUAACUCCUAAAACUACCAUAUUUGAAAAACUGCACUUAUCCCACCAACCAACCCAAGAAAAUCUGCCUAUUUUCAAACUAAAUCCCACUAAUGGAUGGCUUUUCCUUAUUUUAUUCCUUAAAUUAAGGCAUGAUAUAAGGAUUUAUUACCUACUAGUAUUAAACUAAUGUAUAAGCUUUUUGUCUUAUUGGUGCUUGACUAACAGACCACUAAUUCAGUCAAAUCUGACCACUUACUAUUCC